UAGAAAAUAGUAUANGAGGAGUACAUGGGGUUUUGGGCCCCCUGGUGCAGGUUCGUGUCCUGUUUUUCUA
rnacentral:tRNA from 1 species